rnacentral:rRNA from 1 species
CCGUGAAUUGCCGUGUCAGUAACGACGAUCCCUGCCACUGAUUGCUAUCAUUAUUCUCAGAUAGUGGCGAAUUAGUGGGACUGCCGUUGUUAAAACGGAGGAAGGAAGGGCUACGGCAGGUCAGUAUGCCCCGAAACUCUGGGGCCACACGCGGGCUGCAAUGGUAGUGACAAUGAGGUUCCAAACUCGAAAGAGAGUGGCAAUCUCUAAACGCUACCACAGUUAUGACUGAGGGCUGUAACUCGCCCUCACGAAUAUGGAAUCCCUAGUAACCGCGUGUCAUUACCGCGCGGUGAAUACGUCCCUGCUCCUU